CUUGGCUUAGUUCAUUUGCCUCAAAGAUCAAAGUCAUGGGCUUAAGAUUCAUUAAUUCUCCAUCAGACAUGUUUAAAGCAAGAGAGGCUCCGCCAAAAUUCAAUCAUUCAACUCAUUCAUGAGAUCAUUGGAGAAAUAUAGUUCAGACAAGUUCGAAGUAGGAGACUACAAAUGGAGAUUAACGAUUUACCUAGGUGGGAACAAAGAUAGAGGCGGGCGCGGCCAUAUUUCGAUAUUCUUGACGUUGACAGACACGAGUUUGCUCCCUGUCGGAUGGGAGCUCCAUGCCAUCUUUAAC